rnacentral:rRNA from 1 species
CCUCCUUUCAUCCUCAUUUUUUUCUCUUUCACAAUUUUCUUAACCCUGAUUCAGCGACGCCGCGUGGGUGAAGAAGCGCCUCGGCGCGUAAAGCCCUGUCAGCAGGGAAGAAAAUGACGGUACCUGAAGAAGAAGCCCCGGCUAACUACGUGCCAGCAGCCGCGGUAAUACGUAGGGGGCAAGCGUUAUCCGGAUUUACUGGGUGUAAAGGGGGCGCAGACGGCGAUGCAAGCCAGGAGUGAAAGCCCGGGGCCCAACCCCGGGACUGCUCUUGGAACUGCGUGGCUGGAGUGCAGGAGGGGCAGGCGGAAUUCCUGGUGUAGCGGUGAAAUGCGUAGAUAUCAGGAGGAACACCGGUGGCGAAGGCGGCCUGCUGGACUGCAACUGACGUUGAGGCCCGAAAGCGUGGGGAGCAAACAGGAUUAGAUACCCGAGUAGUC